rnacentral:rRNA from 1 species
AAACUUGCUGUCUAGUGUAAGCACUUUGCACCGUGAAACUGCGAAUGGCUCAUUAUAUCAGUUAUAAUUUAUUUGAUAGUGCCAAAUUACUACUUGGAUAACCGUGGUAAUUCUAGAGCUAAUACAUGCUAAAAAUCCCGACUCUCGCGGAAGGGAUGUAUUUAUUAGAUACAAAACCAAUAGCCCCUCGGGGUUUUCUUGGUGAUUCAUAAUAACUGCUCGAAUCGCACGGCCUUGCGCUGGCGAUGGUUCAUUCAAAUUUCUGCCCUAUCAACUGUCGAUGGUAGAGUAGUGGUCUACCAUGGUUGCAACGGGUAACGGGGAAUGGGGCGGGGGCGGCGGGCCGGGCGCGGGGCGCGGCGGGCGA